AGGGAUUACUCAGUAACGGCGAGUGAAGCGGUAACAGCUCAAAUUUGAAAUCUUGGCUCUUUUAGGGUCCGAGUUGUAAUUUGUAGAAGAUGCUUUGGGCAUUGCUCCGGUCUAAGUUCCUUGGAACAGGACGUCAUAGAGGGUGAGAAUCCCGUAUGUGACUGGUGGCAUUUGUCCGUGUAAAGCUCUUUCGACGAGUCGAGUUGUUUGGGAAUGCAGCUCAAAAUGGGUGGUAUAUUUCAUCUAAAGCUAAAUAUUGGCCAGAGACCGAUAGCGCACAAGUAGAGUGAUCGAAAGAUGAAAAGCACUUUGGAAAGAGAGUUAAACAGUACGUGAAAUUGUUGAAAGGGAAGCGCUUGCAACCAGACUUGUGGGUCGUUGAUCAUCCAGGGUUCUCUCUGGUGCACUCGGCGGCUUUCAGGCCAGCAUCGGUUUGAGUGGUGGGAUAAAGGCCUUGGGAAUGUAGCUUCUCUCGGGGAGUGUUAUAGCCCAAGGUGCAAUGCCGCCUAUUCGGACCGAGGACCGCGCUUCGGCUAGGAUGCUGGCGUA
rnacentral:rRNA from 2 species